AGAGGUGUCAAGCUGCCAGUGUUGAUUCAAAUGAAAAUGAUAAUGUUGAAGAAGGAGGCUGCAAAAGUUCCUAAGCAACCUGACGGGAUAUACCUUGUAAAAUGCUUUCAAAAAAGCUUCAAAGGGCAGCUAAUAAAUGAAUAUACUGACAGGGUUUAAUCGCUUCUCCUCUCUCCUAGUAACAGGAAUUAAAGGCCACAGGUGGUUCUGGGUUGGAGGCAGGACCCAAAAGUAAAUGCAGCAUUCAGAGCUGCACAGGCCCAGUCAGAGCAGCUGCCACUUCAGGCACUUACAGUGGUCACCCAGGAUUCAGGAGAUGCAUAUUAUAAGUAACUCAGUUCUGUAAGAGCUAGGAGUUAGUUCACACUGCUUGGGCUCUCACUAAGUAAGCCUGUGCAAUGCAGGCAGGAAGGGAGAAAAUGCUUACAAAAAAGAAAUGAGUAGAUUCUUGCCUUAGGAAAGUCAACGGGAUACAAUUCCUGAUGGAAGAGCAGUUGCUAUUCUAAGAGCUAAUUAACAAGAAACAAUGCUGCAAAAAACUUGGGAGACAGGACGGCAGAACACACCCAGAUGGCCUGUGGGAAAUUCCCAGGCCUGCCAAUGAUGUGAGAGAGGACAUCUUGUGAAUGGGUGGGUACAGCCUGUUCUUCUGGGCAAGACAAACAGUGCAGGACUCUAUAUGCCAGGGUGGCUGAAGCCCCAGUGUCCAAGAGGCUUGCCCAUUCCUCCCUGCCCCUGGCACUGAACCCAAGCUUCCAUGGGGCACUGUGGAAGAGGCCUUGCCUGACGACAAGUAGACCAAACACGACCGUCCGUCCUCUAAAAACUGCACCCUUGGAAUUGGGGACAGGCAGAAUAACCCUUUCACUAGCUUGAUACUUAGCCUCUUGGGGUUCUGAUAAAUCCUUUUGAAUAACCAAGCAGUUUUGUUUUUAAUACCUUGGCCUGAGCCCUUUAGAUGCAGCCAUCCUCAACUUACAAAAAAAACAAACCAAAAGAAAAAACAAAACACACACACACACAAACAAACUUUGAUUCAAUUGACAAAGGUUUUCAAGGUGUCUACUACAUGUAAGGCAGCACACUAGGGGUUUCUUGGGGAUACGCAGAUGACAAAGACAGUGUCUCUUCAUCCAGGAGCUAAUCAAGAGAAGGGGGAAGAAUCAAGCAAACUUCAUAAUACACAGCCGGAUGAAAUGAAAAGAGACUUAGAUCAAGUGCUGUGAGAGCUUGGAAGAGGCACGGGGCAAAUAACACUGGGGCUGGUGGUGGGAAGGCAAGUGACAGCCUCGUGGAAGAGGUGGCAUUUGACCAGAGAUGAGGACGAACAGAAUUAACAUAGUAGGCAUGAAGGAAGAAAAUGCGCCUGAGGACACAGCCAGCACAAAUGCAGAGGCAUACAAGUGCCUGGUACAGCUGGCAUGCAGGGAUGGCUGAGGAACUGCGGGGGCAGCCGGUGGGAUCCAUCCGAGGUAAAGGUUAGAGGCAAGUCUCGGAGAUGGAAACCCAAGGUCAUGCAGUUGUGCCAAUGCCCGUUGUUAGACAACAUGCUUCUAUUCCUGACAAACCAGUCUCAAGCAGCUCUGACUGAUGGGGCGGAUUUCAAUGCUCUCCAAUGACUUCCAAGUGUUAAGAAAAAGCUGCUGCUACCCUACAUGCCCAAGCUAUACGAACUACUUUUUUCCAGGCAAACAGGAUUCCUGCAGACAAUGCUCGGAUGAUGAAAUCUGAGAGGCUGGAUGACAGAGAAACCCACAUGCAUACACACACACUUUAUAAAGCUUAGGAACAAAAGCACUUUAUAAUCUCCUUCUGAUGCCAAGUUUACAGUGCUUCCAGAGUCAACAAAGGUGACUCAGGAGAGUGCACCCAGCUCCUUUCAGCACUUAUUUAGCUCAGCCACCUGUGUGAGCUCAAAGACAAGGGUGCCGACUUCACCUGAGUAGACCCUGAGUCACGUGAUUUCUUGCUGGAGAUGAUUCAGCAAAGGAGCACUAACCUCUGAGACAAGGCUUCAGCUUCCUGAGCUCUGCUGACUCGCCUGGGACUUCCCUAAGCCCUUCUGGACCUAGAUGAGGGCAAAACUCAGUGGAACCUCAGAAGCCCUAAAAAAAUGAUAGACUUUCUUUUGUCUCAUCAUUAUCAGCAUUUUGGGAUGAUUUAGUCAGCCUAAGAAACCUGAUGGCAUGUUGACACCAGAAAACAGGUAGUAUAUAUUCCCAAACCAAGUUAAAAAAAAUUAAGAAAUAACAGCUGGAAUGCCUUUUAUUUUUUCUUUACACAAAUGUGUGUGUCAUCGUCAUAUGCCUUUUUUGUGUUAAUUUCUGAGGAUCCUGCCAGUGUGAAUACUCCAUUCUCUGCGAGUCGCAGGUCAGGCUGCUUUUGAGGCAAGCACACGUUAAGUAUUGAGCAGAAACAUUUGAAGCAAAGAUGAGAAAGACAGAAGGGGAAGCAAGAAAAAUAGUCUUCCCAGUGUGCCUAUUUGGGUGCAUAUAAAGUUACUUUUAGAUGUGCGAUUACUGGUUAAUGAUUUGGGGAAUUCUUUUCAAGUAGAAAUCCUGGGCUAAAAACUAAGUGUGCUCAAGCUACCCCCGCACCCACUGAUUCUGCACUCCAUGGGAAAAGUUCUCACAAGCAAGUCCUUUGUCCACUACCCACGUCUAUAGGAAAUGUUUGAACAGCUAUACACAAAGAACUCACAAGUCCACAACCUCGGGGGUGUUGCGGGUGGAGAGGGCAGUGGUAAAGGUGAUGACAGGGAGGGCCUGUGGGGACAGUAAUAUUAGAUUAGUGGUCAGAAGAUGCUGGAGCCUGCCUUGCCAGUCACACACUUUUAGAGGAAUGCUGGACAGUACACACCCUCCCCAACCCUGAAUGUAGGCCCUCGCUGACAUCACGCCAGAUGAAGCCCUGAGGUCUUUAACAUCUGUAACUCUAUGGCAUGUAACAUAAACAGGUGUCUGACCAGUUUCCCCAGAUAUAGAAUAAUAAUAAUACCUUUCAUUUAAAAAGGUAAGAGGGAAUUCAACAAGCUUUCCUUCUUAAAUAAAUCUCCAUCUCAGGAAGCCAUGGAAAGAUGCCCCUCCCACACUAAGACUGUAGAGAGAGGCACUGUGAAGGUCUGGCUUGGAGAUCUCAGCUCUUCCUGCCUCUCAGGGGGAAAGGGCAGAUCCAGCAGGCCGGGAAAGGAUCUCCCAGGGUCCCAAGGAGGCAGCAUGGGGCAAAGUCCAACAGUGAGGAUUCUCUCCUUCUCUGGUCUCUUUUCUGUUAAAAAUGCUUCUUUGGGGUACCCUUCAUUACUACCCUGGAGGUUGAAGGACACUUCUUGAGAAGGCAUAGAUACUCUUCAGGUAUGCUGAAGAAAUGAGUUGUGCUAAAACCACUGGUUAAUUUUGUCUGUGGCAAAAAAUCAUGAGGGUGACAUAGACUCCCAGGCCAGGAACCCGAGACUGGAUUUAAGAGAUGUGGCCAGGAUCCACAGGGGAGCUUGUAUGUGGCUCACAUCAUUAGCUCUUUCUGUAUAUUUGUAUUGUAAACCAUUUCCCUUCAUUUGUGAAGAUGGAGAUCACUUUUUCUAUACAGGCUAGAAAUGUUUCUUCAUACACACACGCUGAGCUUGUUUAUAAAAGAUAUUCAUUUAUAUGGUGGUUUUAACAACUUUUCCAUGUGGAAAUUUUAGACGACAGUAACACAGACCCUCAUGUACUCAUCACUCAGCCUUGAUGGUUACUGACACAUGCCCAAUAUUGUUUCAUCUGUUUCUCCCCACAACUCCUGGAUUAAUUUGAAAGAAAUCCUAGAAGUCACUUAAUCAGCAAAUACUCCAGUCUGUUGGUCCACUCCUUAUACAAUAGCCAGGGUGAUCUUUUACACAUGAAGUAGUGAUUGCAUCACUCAUGCUUGCUUGGAAUUCUUCAAAGACUUACGUUGGCACUUCAGAUAAAGUGUAGACUCCUUCGCGUGACCUAGGAUGUCCUUUGGGCUCUCACUGUUCCCUCAGCCUCCUCACCUGAAGCUCUCACUGCCCCACCCCUUUGCUCAUCACACUCCAACCCGCCUGCCAUUGAGCUACUCAAAUGGACUGCUCCUUUCUCAAGACCUCUGCACACUUUCAAGCCUCAUUUCUCUUCAGCCUUUAUUAAAUGUCAUCUCCUCCAGAUGGCCUCCUUUGGUGGCCCAGGUCAUGUUAGAUCUGCCUGUUAAAUAAAUGCUUUCAAAGAACCUUGGAUUUUAUUUUUUUCUCAUUAAAUUGUAAGUAUAUAGUUAAUGUUUAAUUUCUCUUUAAAAUUUCUUUCUCCCUCCCCACCCCAACUGGACUGUAAAUUCCACAAGAGCAGGAUCAUGUUUGCCUCACUCAUCACUGAAUUCCUGGCACCUCGCACAGAACCUGAGUAUUGCAGAACCCAUGCCUGCUAUGCACAUAUGCAUUGAUAUAAGCCUAUUAUAUAAAUAAACAGAUCAAUAUCUAUUUGGCUAUUUACACCCCACCUAUAUGUCUUUGGUCAAGAUUUAAAAGCUCCUGGAAAAACAAAAAUACAAUUUCCUUAGGAAUAAAAGCCUACCACAGCCUUGUGUAAAAUUAAGCACUUAAUAACCUUGAUGAUGUUGCUGAACUGUUCAAGGAGAAGAUGAGGAUAAUGACAUCUCUAAGUGUGUUGUGAAAUUACUACUCACAAGUUAGCAAUACUAAUCACUUACUCUUGUAUCGUGCAUUCCACUUGGAAAACACUUUCAUGUAUACUGCCUUAUUUGAAGCGGGCACUAUAGGUGUUAUUAUCACACCUUUAUAGACUGAAAAUCAGUGGCAGAAGUCACAUGAGGUCUAGGGUGUGUUCUUUCCAUUCUAACAUGUAAAGUCCCUUCAUCUCUCUGGGCCCGUUUCCUCAUCUACAGAUGAGGAAAUGUGGACAAAAUAUUUUUAAACUAUUUCCAGCUCUACAAUUCUGUGUUUAUGCCUCUAAUGAUCACAAAGCUCUAUAAAAUUAAGGGCAAAGACAAAUAAUUACAGUUCAAAACUUAGCACUCAUGAUUUCCCUACUGUUUUUAGAACUAUGCAAAACACCAUCCAAUGGAUUCAACUAUUCACAUGAGGAACUCUUGAAGUCACCAAGCUCCCAGAAAGCCUGAUCUUAGGUGGACACAAAAUUCUGGAAAAAGGCGUCAAGUCAAUAUUGGUAAAGAACACAGUAUACCUUGAUCUGGCCCUGUGCAGCCAAAUGAA
rnacentral:lncRNA from 1 species